GGUUAUAGCUCAGUGGUAGAGUGCCUGCCUGGCAAGCACGAGGUCCUGGGUUCAAUCCCCAGUACCUCCA
rfam:Camelus ferus unplaced genomic scaffold scaffold1727, whole genome shotgun sequence.